rnacentral:snoRNA from 1 species
UGUUCUUAUAGAUAGGUGCAAAAAAUAAGUCCUCUCCUGCAACCUAGAACUUACCCUUCAGUAUGAAUUUUGAUACAGAGAAGGAAUAUU